AUUGAACGCUGGCGGCAGGCCUAACACAUGCAAGUCGAACGAGUGGCGGACGGGUGAGUAAUGUCUGGGAAACUGCCUGAUGGAGGGGGAUAACUACUGGAAACGGUAGCUAAUACCGCAUACCAUCGGAUGUGCCCAGAUGGGAUUAGCUAGUAGGUGGGGUAAAGGCUCACCUAGGCGACGAUCCCUAGCUGGUCUGAGAGGAGGACAGGCCACAUGGGAACUGAGACACGAUCCAGACUCCGACGGGAGGCAGCGGUGGGGAAUAGUGCACAAUGGGCGCAAGCCUGAUGCAGACAUGCCGCGGGUAUGAAGAAGGACUUAGGAUUGUAAAGUAAUUUCAGCGGGGAGGCGGUACCAGCAGAAGAAGCACCGGCUAACACCGUGCCAGCAGCCGCGGUAAUAC
rnacentral:rRNA from 1 species